GGAGUGGAGCCAUGGCUGAGUGGUGAAGCAUCUGCUUGCCAUGCAAAAGGUCUCAGGUUCUAUCCCUGGCAUCUCUCUU
rnacentral:tRNA from 1 species